rnacentral:rRNA from 1 species
CGCUGGCGGCGUGCCUAACACAUGCAAGUCAACUUGACUGAAGGAGCAAUCUGACAGUAGAGUGGCGCAAGGGUGCGUAACGCGUAAGUAACUUGCCCAAGGUAAGGAAUAACGUCGAGAAAUCGGCGCUAAUACCUCAUAAUGCAGCGGAUCCGCAUGGAUAUGUUGUUAAAGGUUUACCGCCUUGGGAUAGGCUUGCGUCUGAUUAGCUAGUUGGUGUGGUAACGGCACACCAAGGCUACGAUCAGUAACUGGUCUGAGAGGAUGAUCAGUCACACUGGAACUGAGACACGGUCCAGACUCCUACGGGAGGCAGCAGUGAGGAAUAUUGGGCAAUGCUCGAAAGAGUGACCCAGCAACGCCGCGUGGAGGAUGAAGGUAUUCUAUAUCGUAAACUCCUGUGAGAGCAGACGAAAGACAGAUUAUUAAUCUGGAUGACUGUAUGCUCAGAGGAAGCCCCGGCUAACUACGUG